rnacentral:rRNA from 1 species
CAGUAGCCGCGGUAAUACGAGGGGGGCAAGCGUUGUUCGGAAUUAUUGGGCGUAAAGGGUGCGUAGGCGGUUUGAUAAGUCUUGUGUGAAAUCUAUGGGCUCAACCCAUAGUCUGCAUAGGAAACUGUCAGGCUUGAGGAUGGGAGAGGUGAGUGGAAUUUCCGGUGUAGCGGUGAAAUGCGUAGAUAUCGGAAGGAACACCUGUGGCGAAAGCGGCUCACUGGACCAUUUCUGACGCUGAUGCACGAAAGCUAGGGGAGCAAACAGGAUUAGAUACCCCCGUAGUCCCUGUCUCUUAUAC